GCUGGGUGUGGUGGCGCACACCUGUAAUCCCAGCCACUCGGGAGGCUGAGGCAGGAGAAUCACUUGAACCAGGGAGGCAGAGGUUGCAGUGAGCCGAGAUCAGGCCACUGCACUCCAGCCUCAGUGACACAGCGAGACUCUGUCUCAA
ensembl:misc_RNA Metazoa_SRP Metazoan signal recognition particle RNA